AGGCUAAAAAACACACAAAAUAAUACAAAAAUAAGAGUAAUAAUAAUAAAUUAAAUUAACAAAUAAGUUAAUAGAAAAUAAAAGGGGGGGAGCGCAAAUAUACAGUAAUAUCAUUUACAUGCAUAUGCAUCCUUCUUCACGUCAGGUCAGCUCCAAGCAUACGUAUAUGUGCAUGCCUGUUAACCCAUCUAGCUAUAUUUUUCUCCAGAUUGAGUGUUUUUUCUUUGCUAUUAUAAGUAAACGCCCUUUUUUUACAUUACUGUGUAGCCUAUAAUGGUCUGUAAUACACUUACUUGUAUUCGUAUAUUUCCUAUAAACACAUAGCAAUUACUGAUUUGCACUAAGCAAUUGCAUUUUUAAAAAAAAGUAACAAAAAAUAGGCAUCAUAACAUUUUACAAAAACAUUUAUUUGCCAUAUAAAAUGAUCACGUUAUACUACGUAACUAUCACAUCUGUAACUCCCUGAUAAAAAAAAAAAAUCCUAGGGUGUUAGUAUGUCCGAUGACACUUAAAGGCAGCAAACAUGCUAGGUAACCGCGCCCUCUGCGCAGCCACGUAGCACAGGUAGAUACAGGUAGAUAAUACAGGCCUCUGUUCACAUGCUGGCCAGCGGUGCUCCAGAUAUACUCAAACAUAAUCUGCUGCAUUCAGAGCUCCCACAGGCCUUGAAAAUCAUAAGAAGUUUGCAGAUAUGUACAGAGACCAUCUGAAAUACUGUCUUCAACUAUAUUACAAAUUUACAUUACUAUUUUAUAUUCACUCCUGUUUGUAUUUAAGCCCUAUAUUUUAACUGCACUAUUUUAUGCCUUAGAUUAUCAUUUUGCUUUUACUUUUAUUGUGUGAUUUCCCCUUUUAUACAUAUAUUAUGAGCAUUGUUGAAGGAACCUGAGACCAAAGAUUGUCAUUGUUAAUGACUGCUUUGCUGGAAUUGACAAAUGACAAGUUAAGAACCUUGAACCUUGAGAUUUAAAAAUAUAUAUAUAUAUAAUAAUAAGGCCUUGGGUUUAUGAAAAUGAAUUGAUGAACUCAUCAGAGUAACUCAUCUCUUUCUGUCCCAGCAUCAGCACAGCUUCACAUCCAUAUAGGGAAACAUUUCAUGAAUGUAUGAUUUUUUUUAAUGAGCUAAUAUUAUUUAAAAAAUACAUAGACUAUAUUGAAAUGAGUUGCAGUCUUACACAAGUAAGAAUGAAAACUUAUUGGAUUUUUUUCAUUUCCAUAAACACCAUAAAUAUCCCAUAUAAUUCAGUGUGUGGAGAUGGGUGGAGAUGUUUUAACCACUGUUAACCGGAUGUUUGUAGAAAGUCACGCUUAACCCAAUUAAAUUAGUUAAAAUUAUAUUUAAGCAUUUCUGCCAUACAUGCACACAGCCACUCAAUAGCAACACCAUACUCCUCAUCACCACUGCUGCAUAUCAGGAUAAGCCUUGGGAUGGACAGAUGAUGGAUCAUGUAGGCCUCAAUCUCUUAUCCUCUUGUGAAAAUACCGGAGUAAAUCCAGAUACAGACACAUGUUUCAGCAGUAGUGUAAUCCUGCUGGUGGGCGGGCACCGGUUUGAUCUGUGAACAGGAUGAGCUUCCAACCACUGACAUGUUUGGCUCUGCUGUGUGCAACCAUUCAUCUGUUCUGGGCAAUUGUCACUGUGUCCUCUUUAGAUUUGAUUGAAGAUCAUGAAAAAAGGCUUUGUGACCUAAAUGACCAUGUAUUUGUCCAGUUCCUCACUAAGUAAUCAAUAUAUACAGCAGCCAGUUUGUAUAAAAAAUUGUAUUAAAAAUUGUCCUCACAAAUUUGAGUUCAAUCCAUGGUUUGCAAAUCUACUAAAAUGUACUAUAUUCAACUGUGACAAUAAUGAAUAUAUUAGGCAGCAUUCAUUUUGCAUGUAAUAUUGUUGGAAACGAUACAGCAUACAGUUAAACUUGAGCAGCGUGCACCUGACAGUGAAAUACAUUUAAUUUAUAUUGACUUAAAUUAUAAUUCACCUUCAAAAUGUAAAGCUGUUUACAGUCAAACUCAUCUUCUAGUCAUCAUAUGUUGUUAUGCAGUGUGCUCUACUUGUUUAUGCUCCACUUUAUGCAGCUUACCGUUAACAGUGUUCAUACCAUGAGAAACAGUUAUUUCAAGUGUUGCAAGUAGAAAAGAUGACGACACAGAUUUUUGUACAGAACACAAAAAAAAAACAGUGGUCAAGUUGGCGGUACUGUUUGCAACAAUUCAUCCUUGAUAAAGUCUUGACCAGCCUGUGCAACUGUUCAUUUGGAGGUUAUCAGUGCUCUAUUACAAAAUAUUGAAGUGGACUAUCAGUGAUCUUUUAUUCUCAUCCUUAUACAUUACAUUAUACAGUCAUUUUAUGAAUCUCUAUGUAAAUACACUUCAGAUGAAGAAUAAUCUUUGAAUCAACAAUGUUGUGAUAAAUAUGCACAAGAUAAGUGUUUGCAAUGGGUUUAGCCUAUUGUGGCUCAUUAUUUGUUCUAUAGCUUAUGGAUGAAAAACACCAGUUUUACUUGUUGCUUCUGUCACGGCUCUGGCCUUGACUCCAGUAGUUUUCCAGUGUUCCGCUUCCCCUGGGUCUCCCCCUCCCCUGCCUGUCUGUAUGGGUGUGGCAGGGGCGCGGCUUCCUCAUCAGGCACUUGGUCUCACUCUCCACUCUGCACUCUGCACCUGUCAACAAUCACCUAAUCAACCCACAGUACAAGAACACCAGCUUUCCUGCCAGUCCUCGCCAGAUUGUUCUGCCUACCAGUUGUGCCAGCCUCCCAUCGAGCCAACCUCACACCGCCGCAGCUCAUUCCUCCAGCUACUCCACCCUGCUCAACAGCCUGCCUGUUCCCUGCCUUCUCCAGCGCCCU